UCUAGAACUCGAUAUAUAGGCUGAACACUAAACAGUGUCUGGGCUGCAAGACAGAUUCCGACUUCUACAAUUUGAACUUAAAAAUGGUCGUUUUGAAUCUUGGACUCUUUAUGAACGUUUUAGUCCUAUGUCUUAGCUUUCUAUC
rfam:Populus trichocarpa scaffold_7_contig_147, whole genome shotgun sequence.